GUAGUACUCUCUCUGUCUGGAAAUACUUAUCGCAGAAAAGAAUAAAAAUGAAUGUAUUAAGAAUUAAAAUAUAUCUAGAUACAUUCAUUUUUUCGACAAGUAUUUUCGGGCGGAGGGGAUAUCAA
rfam:Triticum aestivum genome assembly, contig: Triticum_aestivum_CS42_TGACv1_scaffold_095938_2AL